UACCACCAUGGAAGUCUUUUAUAGAGAGAUAUGGUGGAUGGUUUGGAAGAGCAUGACAUUUACUGUUGUGUCAGUAUUUUCUCCUUGGACCUUGAAAAUCUAUGGUGGGGCCACGCAAACUUCUCAACAGACCGUACCGAUAUCCGCAGCCGGUCUCCAAGGUGAAGAGUCUCUAGUCGAUAGAAUAAUGUAGGUAAGGGA
rnacentral:ncRNA from 1 species